UUCACGUCACUGCAGGCCUUCAAACAAUGAGAUUUGAGCCUAAACAGUGACACAUGAAAGGCAGUCGCGUUUUAAUCAGUAGAGAUGAAAGAGCAAACCAUGUACCGUAGUUUUGAUUUAUUUAUUUUUAGCACAACACCAGAACAACCCCACGUGCCCAUAAUUUGCGGUACUUCAGAAAAAAAGGAGUGAACAUAAAAGGGAGUAAAAUGUUGUGGCAGGAAGAGAAAAGAAUGAGAGCUAACUUCACUCAGAGAUAUAGAAAGAAAGAGAAAGAAACCAGGCUGUAUUUAAAGACGUCUUGAAAACAAGUUUUAACAAAGUCCUGGAGAAGUGCCCAAUGCUGGAGGACCUCCUGCUUUACCCCUGGCUCAGAUAAACUCCUCUCUGACACAAACACACACGCAUACUGAAUUCACAUCUUGCCAUACAAAUGUGAUACAGUAACCAACUUUCUUUCUUUCAGAAAAAAAAGAAAAUUGGGAGAUUCAAAAUUUUUCUCACAGUAAUGUUUGCAUCAGUCUAUCAGAUGAAUCCCCUCCAAGUCCAAUAUUUACAUCAGUUACAGUGAUAAUGCUUGGUGUCUACUUUCAGCCACCGCAGUAGAAUGCCAGGAAUGAA